rnacentral:lncRNA from 1 species
GGGGCGGCCCCCGCACCCACCCCUCCGGCUCCACCCCGGCGCGCCUCACCCGGACCGGUCUCAGGAGCGAUACGGGCUUCAGCGUGGCGAAAUGCACCAAUACGACUCGCUACGCACUGAGAAGGGGGCCCCACGCGCGCCCCGAGCUACCGCGCCCGCGGGCCUCAGGGAGCCGCUGACCUUCUAGAAAUGGAAAAAUGAUCCGUGGCCUCUAGUAAAGAUCACCUCCUCAGAAAUUUGUGGGCACUCCCACCGUUCUGCCAGUCCACACCAAAGUGGGAGAAAACCUUCAAACCUUAAUUACUGGGUAGAGCUAGUGUUUUAUUCUCCCAAAGGCUGGGGGAGGAAAGGAGGCAGGGCAGAGAGAUGAACCUCACAGAAUAAGGCCUGACUAGAGAGACAGCUGAGGAAUCCUUGAAACAAGAAGGAAAAGGAAAGGAGAAGCACCCCUGGUGUGGAUCAGGAGAAGAAUAGAAGUCAUCUUGGAGAAGAGCCAAAGGACCCACUGCCCACACCUGCGCUGCCCAGGAUGGAGCCACUCACCACUGGUGGCUAUUUAC